CGGGACUACAGGCGCCUGUGCAAUCUCUAUGGUAACCACAUUUCCCAGCUGUCUACUACCGGUAAUAAAAUCAAAUGGAUUCAGUGCUCACAACUCUUCAGUCUUCGGGCUACUUUCCAUUCUUGAGUUUUUAGCUGAAUUCAUCUCUUUGGCUGGAUUUUAUGAAUCGGGCAGCCGUUAGAACCAAAACAGUUCUGAGGAACUCCCAGGCUGCAGUGUGGUGUGAAAUGUUUUAUGCACAGAAAAUGGAAAUGAGGUGCAGAAACUGGAGGGCAGAGAGUUAUAUUUUUCAUCUUCAUGUUGAGUAGAAAAUCCAUGAAAAUCUAAUACCCAGUUAUCACUCAAGUGUGACAAAUAGAAAGGAGCUUCAGAAUAGGAUCUUCAGUUCUACCAAAUGUCUCUGCCUAAUUACAUCAAUAUCCAUGUUGAUGAAAUUUCAGUCUUUAUUCAAGAUCAAGUGCAACUGUCUCUUUGAGGAAAGUCCUUUGACCCCCAUUUCUCCCCUUCAGAAGGCAAGCACCUGGGGGAGAAGAUCUGCUUAAGGACCUCGUAACUGACAAAGAAUGGAAUGGGAGCGAGAACUGCCUAGCCAUCCCUUCUCCUUGCACAGUCAUGAAACAAAGUUGAAAAGGAGCCUGGUUUUACUUGACCAGUCAUAAAUUACCAUAAAAUAAAAUGAGAUACUAGG
rnacentral:lncRNA from 1 species